rnacentral:rRNA from 1 species
AUUGAACGCUGGCGGCAGGCUUAACACAUGCAAGUCGAGCGAGCGGCGGACGGGUGAGUAAUGUCUGGGAAACUGCCUGAUGGAGGGGGAUAACUACUGGAAACGGUAGCUAAUACCGCAUACCAUCAGAUGUGCACAGAGGGGCUUAGCUAGUAGGUGGGGUAAUGGCUAACCUAGGCGACGAUCCCUAGAUGGUCUGGGGGGAUGACCAGCCACCCUGGAACUGGGACGCGUCCCAAACCCCUACGGGAGGCACCGUUGGGGAAUAUUGGACAAUGGGCGCAAGCCUGAUGCAGCCAUGCGGCGUGUGGUAAGAAGGCCUUCGGGUUGUAAAGCACUUUCCUCGAGGAGGCGGUACUCGCAGAAGAAGCACCGGCUAACUCCGUGCCAGCCGCCGCGGUAAUUC